rfam:Schistocephalus solidus strain NST_G2 genome assembly, scaffold: SSLN_scaffold0004747
GCACCCUUGGCUCAAUGGUUAGAGCGCUGGACUUCUGAUCAACGGAUCGCGGGUUCGAACCUCGGGUGGGGCA